GAUGAACGCUGGCGGCGUGCCUAAUACAUGCAAGUCGAGCGAACGGACGAGAAGCUUGCUUUUCUGAUGUUAGCGGCGGACGGGUGAGUAACACGUGGAUAACCUACCUAUAAGACUGGGAUAACUUCGGGAAACCGGAGCUAAUACCGGAUAAUAUUUUGAACCGCAUGGUUCAAAAGUGAAAGACGGUCUUGCUGUCACUUAUAGAUGGAUCCGCGCUGCAUUAGCUAGUUGUUAAGGUAACGGCUUACCAAGGCAACGAUGCAUAGCCGACCUGUGAGGGUGAUCGGCGACACUGGAACGGAGACACGGUCCAGACUCCUACGGGAGGCAGCAGUAGGGAACCUGCCGCAAUGGGCGAAAGCAUGACGGAGCGACGCCGCGUGAGUGAUGAAGGUCUUCGGAUCGUAAAACUCUGUUAUUAGGGAAGAACAUAUGUGUAAGUAACUGUGCACAUCUUGACGGUACCUAAUCAGAAAGCAACGGCUAACUACGUG
rnacentral:rRNA from 1 species